rnacentral:rRNA from 1 species
UACCAGCUCUCCGAGUGGUAGGGAUGAUUAUUGGGCUUAAAGCGUCCGUAGCCGGCUUAGCAAGUUUCCUGUUAAAUUCAGCGACCUAAUCGUUGAGCCGCGGGAAAUACUACUAGGCUAGGAGGCGGGAGAGGUCGACGGUACUUCUGGGGUAGGGGUGAAAUCCUAUAAUCCCGGGAGGGCCACCAGUGGCGAAGGCUGUCGACUAGAACGCGCUCGACGGUGAGGGACGAAAGCUGGGGGAGCGAACCGGAUUAGAUACCCGGGUAGUCCCAGCUGUAAACGAUGCGGGCUAGGUGUUGGGGUGGCUACGUGCCACUUCAGUGCCGCAGGGAAGCCAUUAAGCCCGCCGCCUGGGGAGUACGGCCGCAAGGCUAGAAACUUAAAGGAAUUGGGCGGGGAGCACCACAAGGCGUGAAGCUUGCGGUUC